rnacentral:rRNA from 1 species
AUGAACGCUGGCGGCGUGCCUAAUACAUGCAAGUCGAGCGAACGGACGAGAAGCUUGCUUCUCUGAUGUUAGCGGCGGACGGGUGAGUAACACGUGGAUAACCUACCUAUAAGACUGGGAUAACUUCGGGAAACCGGAGCUAAUACCGGAUAAUAUUUUGAACCGCAUGGUUCAAAAGUGAAAGACGGUCUUGCUAUCACUUAUAGAUGGAUCCGCGCUGCAUUAGCUAGUUGGUAAGGUAACGGCUUACCAAGGCAACGAUGCAUAGCCGACCUGAGAGGGUGAUCGGCCACACUGGAACUGAGACACGGUCCAGACUCCUACGGGAGGCAGCAGUAGGGAAUCUUCCGCAAUGGGCGAAAGCCUGACGGAGCAACGCCGCGUGAGUGAUGAAGGUCUUCGGAUCGUAAAACUCUGUUAUUAGGGAAGAACAUAUGUGUAAGUAACUGUGCACAUCUUGACGGUACCUAAUCAGAAAGCCACGGCUAACUACGUG